rnacentral:sRNA from 2 species
UAGGUGAAAUCUCCGAAGCCGCAAGGGCGUGGGGGACCCAGUCUUUUUGGGGUGAAUCUUGGCCAGCCAAGUAGGGCGACUUGGACGCCCGAACCCGUCAGCUAACCUCACAGGAGUAAUCCAAGCGCAUCA